rnacentral:rRNA from 1 species
UACGAAGGGGGCUAGCGUUGUUCGGAAUUACUGGGCGUAAAGGGCGCGUAGGCGGUGUGUCAAGUCAGGCGUGAAAGCCCCGGGCUCAACCUGGGAACCGCGCUUGAGACUGGCACGCUCGAGUUCGGGAGAGGAUGGUGGAAUUCCCAGUGUAGAGGUGAAAUUCGUAGAUAUUGGGAAGAACACCGAUGGCGAAGGCAGCCAUCUGGACCGACACUGACGCUGAGGCGCGAAAGCGUGGGGGAGCGAACGGG